rnacentral:rRNA from 1 species
CGGCGGACGGGUGAGUAACGCGUGGACAACCUGCCCUAUGCAGGGGGAUAACAUCCGGAAACGGGUGCUGAUACCGCAUAAGCGCACAGUACCGCAUGGUACGGUGUGAAAAGCUGAGGCGGCAUAGGAUGGGUCCGCGUUGGAUUAGGCAGUUGGCGGGGUAACGGCCCACCAAACCAACGAUCCAUAGCCGGCCUGAGAGGGUGGACGGCCACAUUGGGACUGAGACACGGCCCAGACUCCUACGGAAGGCAGCAG